UACGCUUUGAUGUUCCCAAGGGUUCAUUGUAACUACAUAUCAUUGGGCCAAUGCCUCAUGCCAACCGGUCACAUGGAUAAUUUUCUUCUUCCUUGCAUCUGCCGCAAGUUCGUUGAGGACUGCCACCCAACAGUCUCUGGAAGGCAUCAUUUUUUUCCCACAUAUUGGGGAGAACAUCUUGAAUUAUAGAAGCAGCAAGCAAUUCAAAACGAUCGCGUUGUCUUUUGUUGGGGCAGCUUCAGCAAGCAGGAGGAAACGACUGGAUAAUUCAGACAGGUUGUUCUUCCCUAUUGUCAUUCAAGGCCACUGGAUAGUUUUCGCUGUUGAUUUCCAUUAUAAGCUUUUUGCUUUCUUAGACUCACAUUAUGGCAAGGAUUCAAAUUUUCACAUGUCAAUACGAGAGAAAAUGGUAAGUGUUCAUUUGAUCUUUUUUCUUUUUGUAUCCUCACAACACAUUUUUGUAAAAUGUAUAUGGUGCUCGAUAGUCUGCAUUUUUUUCAUCUUUUUCUCUAAUGCAGAUCGACAACUUCAUCAAUUUGUGGGAAAUCAUAUUUCAAACUAAAGAACACAAUUUUUGUACUUUCAAAAGGAUGUACCCUCAUGUGCCUAAACAGGGCAACGAGAAUGAUUGCGGUAUUUUCGCUGUCAAGUUCAUGGAGUUAUGGGAACCAGCUAUGGAUCCGAGGAAGUGCUUCUCACAAGCCGACAUAACACACAUAAGGAUUCAAUACAUGAAUCAGCUUUAUUUCUGGAGUAAGAAUAGCACCGACAAGCGUGUAGUUACCGACUUCAACUUAGAGGGUGAUUUUGUCGGAAACCAUGGACAAUAGAAACUGCUGAUCUAUGCUCUUGGGAUUUUGUCAGAUGGAUAUCAAGAUGGGGAAUUCAUCUUCUUUUUUCAGCCAGUUCGCUGGGGCCUGCACAUGUGGCUUUUUUUCUUCCUUCUUCUAGAUGUAUCCCAGUGCAUGUGGUUGUAAAGAAACAUUUUUUGUGACAUGGGUUUUUUGUUUGUCAAUGGGGCAUUUAGUGACAUGUUCUUUUUGUGGUAAUAGACAAUGUGCGACAAGUUAUUUGUUUGUUGUAAUAUCUUUUUUAUUCUAUGUGCGAUGAUAAGGCAAGACAUGUAUAUAUGUUCGACAAGUUA